UGUAGGCUGCAACUCGCCUACAUGAAGUCGGAAUUGCUAGUAAUCGCGGAUCAGCAUGCCGCGGUGAAUACGUUCCGGCCUUGUACACACCGCCCGUCACACCAUGGGAGUCGGUAACACCCGAAGCCUGUAGUCUAACCGCAAGGAGGACGCAGUCGAAGGUGGGAUUGAUGACUGGGGUGAAGUCGUAACAAGGUAAC
rnacentral:rRNA from 1 species